CUCCAGCAGAACACAAUUGCCAUGAAGGGGUGGUCUCCAUGGUAACCAGCCUAAGCCCUCCCCUCCCCCUACUUCCUGCUGGUCACUCCUACCUAAGGUGGUAGUGGAUCCUAUUUGAGCCCCUUGAUAUUUUUUUUAAUCCUCACUCCAAAAGCCUCAUCAGUCGCCACAGAAGCACCUUUUCAAGCCUCCAAGUGGAGCUCAGGAUGGUAUACCAACCAUAACGUAUGCAUACUAUCCCCAACCACACUCCGCUGCACCAAACGGCAUUUCUUUAAGACAACAUCUCCAAGUCCUCUACCAGCAGAGAAUUGUUGUCCUCAUUCUCCCCAUUUCCAGGUGAAAAAUAAGAACCCAGCUGCCGGGAGUUGCUUUCUCCACCCUGGACUCUCGACGCUCGAUCCAUUGUGCUAAACAAUAGUGCAUGCUGCUCCUCCUGCCACUGAGGAACAAAGAGCAGCUAAUUGAAUUAACCAGACCUAUUAUUCCUCCACAUGUGAAGGGAGCUGGCUGUCCCGAGGAGACAUAAGGAGCACGUCUUACAUCUCUUCCCCCACCCCCCUAGCAAUCUUGUCUUUCCCUGCCUCCAUGCAGAACAGCUAGGAAGCAGCACCACACUGUAAAAAUAAAAACCCUUAAAAAGGGGCCAGAUUGGGGGUGGGGUGAUUAGGAUCACUGGGGCCAGUCUCCCAACUAGCAUCUCUGGUAUGGAUAGCUCUUGCUGCCAGGCCAGGGGAGCGAAGGAGAUGAAAUACAGGGUGUCCUUCCUCCUCUCCCUGCACCCCCAUACCCAGGACGAAUCACUAGCCCUCCUACCCACCAAGCGAAAAGGUGGAGAACUCACAACACUAGAUAAGGAGUCAAGGCAUGGGGAAUACAACACUCAUUCGAGAUGGAAUGAAAAACAGAGAUAAAAUCCCAAAUAAAUAUCUGGCACAGUACUAAUUGCAUUUUAAAAGCUGCCACCGGAGAGCAGAUAAAACGGUGGUGUAUUUCAUUAGUGGCUCCCCUAAUUCACCCAGUUUUUGCCAGCUGACUCUAUUAAAUAGCCCUGUAAUUAAA